rnacentral:tRNA from 1 species
GCCGAGGUGGCACAAUCUGGUACUGCGCGAGAUUGCUAAUCUCGUUUCCUUUGGAUAUCUGGGUUCAAAUCCCAGCCUCGGCG